rnacentral:rRNA from 1 species
GGGGAUUAGUGGCGAACGGGUGAGUAACACGUGGGCAAUCUGCCCUGCACUCUGGGACAAGCCCUGGAAACGGGGUCUAAUACCGGAUACUGACCCGCUUGGGCAUCCAGGCGGUUCGAAAGCUCCGGCGGUGCAGGAUGAGCCCGCGGCCUAUCAGCUUGUUGGUGAGGUAAUGGCUCACCAAGGCGACGACGGGUAGCCGGCCUGAGAGGGCGACCGGCCACACUGGGACUGAGACACGGCCCAGACUCCUACGGGAGGCAGCAGUGGGGAAUAUUGCACAAUGGGCGAAAGCCUGAUGCAGCGACGCCGCGUGAGGGAUGACGGCCUUCGGGUUGUAAACCUCUUUCAGCAGGGAAGAAGCGAAAGUGACGGUACCUGCAGAAGAAGCGCCGGCUAACUACGUGCCAGCAGCCGCGGUAAUACGUAAGGCGCGAGCGUUGUCCGGAAUUAUUGGGCGUAAAGAGCUCGUAAGCGGCUUGUCACGUCCGUUGUGAAAACCCGGGGCUUAACCCCGGUCUGCAGUCGAUACGGGCAGGCUAGAGUUCUGUAGGGGAGAUCGGAAUUCCUGGUGUAGCGGUGAAAUGCGCAGAUAUCACGAGGAACACCCGUGGCGAAAGCGGAUCUCUGGGGCGAUACUGACGCUCAAGAGCGAAAACGUGGGGAGCGAACAGGAUUAAAUACCCUGGGAGUCCACGCCGCAAACGGUGGGCACUAAGUGUGGGGGACAUUCCACGUCGUCCGUGCCGCAGCUAACGCAUUA